UGACACCCGGCGACACGGAGCCGAGGGGGAGGGGACGUGGCAUGGGGAAAGCAGCUGGCCCACAGUGCUCACUCGGGGGCCCGCCCCCCACACCAGCUGUCUCGACAGAGGAUGACAGGAUCGUCCUAGCAGUCCGGUAGGCUCAAGAGGCCCAGAUACCCUCCCUGGAGCCCCUUACCCCCGCAAGACACCCCCCAGACACCCUCCAAGGCUUCCGCAGUGGGACCCACAGGCCCCGCCCGGAGUUACAUCAUCACCUGGACACGCCCCCGUGGAGUUCCACCUGGCCGGGCGAAAGGCGUGUGCUCUAGGGAAGAAGCGUCAGUUCCUGCCUUACAGAUCGAGAAACUGAGGCAUGGAGGCCGAGGACAGGUUUAGCCUAUGGUCGUCUUGUUUGGGUCUCCCACGUUGAAUCAGCCCACCCGGCCUUUGGCCAGUCCAUUUUCUGGAUGCUGGCUCUCUGUCGGCCUUCACCUGUGAGAACCUCAUCCUUCAGGACAAACUCUUCAUGCUGCGCAGAACUACGGUACGCUAGCUGUUCCUGCCACAAACUAGGAGGCUGACGCAAACUAGGAGAAUCACAAGUUUGAGGCCAACCUGAAAUCCGAAAGUGGAACCACGCAGAUCUAAGGAUAGGAGUUAAGUUCCUGGGACCAAUAUGGCAGAAGGAGAAAAUAAAAUCUUGCACGUUGUUCUCUGA